UACGAAGGGGGCUAGCGUUGCUCGGAAUCACUGGGCGUAAAGCGCACGUAGGCGGAUUGUUAAGUCAGGGGUGAAAUCCUGGAGCUCAACUCCAGAACUGCCUUUGAUACUGGAGAGCUCGAGGGAGGUAGGGGUCUGUGGAACUUCCGGUGGAGCGGUGAAAUGCGUUGAUAUCGGAAGGAACGCCGGUGGCGAAAGCGACGGACUGGAUCUCUUCUGACGCUGAGGCGCGAAAGCCAGGGGAGCAAACGGG
rnacentral:rRNA from 1 species